GCGGGGGUUGCUGAGCCUGGUCAAAAGCGUGGGACUUAAGAUCCCAUCCCCUAGGGGUUCGUGGGUUCGAAUCCCACCCCCCGCA
rnacentral:tRNA from 1 species